UUUACUAUUUACGUUCAACGUUUGACCAUUUGUCUUAUUUGAAUUUUUUUAUAAUUAGUAUUUUUAUUGCUAUUAGAUGAUAAAACAUGAAUAGUGAUUUAUGUAUGACUAAAUUUUUUAAAUUUUUUUAUAAAUUUUUUAAAUAAGACGGAUAGUUAAAUGUUGGACACGGAUAUCUACGGCUAUAUUUAUU
rfam:Oryza rufipogon genomic scaffold, chr01